rnacentral:rRNA from 1 species
UAGGGAAUCUUCGGCAAUGGACGAAAGUCUGACCGAGCAACGCCGCGUGAGUGAAGAAGGUUUUCGGAUCGUAAAACUCUGUUGUUAGAGAAGAACAAGGACGUUAGUAACUGAACGUCCCCUGACGGUAUCUAACCAGAAAGCCACGGCUAACUACGUGCCAGCAGCCGCGGUAAUACGUAGGUGGCAAGCGUUGUCCGGAUUUAUUUGGCGUAAAGCGAGCGCAGGCGGUUUCUUAAGUCUGAUGUGAAAGCCCCCGGCUCAACCGGGGAGGGUCAUUGGAAACUGGGAGACUUGAGUGCAGAAGAGGGGAGUGGAAUUCCAGGUGUAGCGGUGAAAUGCGUAGAUAUAUGGAGGAACACCAGUGGCGAAGGCGGCUCUCUGGUCUGUAACUGACGCUGAGGCUCGAAAGCGUGGGGAGCAAACAGG